UUGGAGGAUUUGAAGACUUCAACUUGCAGACUUGGAGGAUUUGAAGACUUCAACUUUUAUACUUGGAGGAUUUGAAGAUUUCUACU
rfam:Solanum tuberosum cultivar DM 1-3 516 R44 scf00011_90, whole genome shotgun sequence.